CCGGUAAUUCCGUUACUUCCUAACAAACUCCUUCUCUUUUGUCUCUCAUUUCUCUCUCUUCUCUCUCGAUCCUAACCUCCUUUUCUCUUCUUAAUUCUCAGGUCAUUUCCAUGGAGUAUCUAGCUAGGUCUACUGUAAUUAGCUAGAUCUAUAUAAAAUUCCAUUGACAAACAGUGCUUCUUUGAUCAAUAAAGCUUUCUUCCUUCUAUUUUUGUUUCAAUUACUAUAAUCCAUGCUAGUUCAUUACAGAUUUGGUAUCAGAGCAAGUCCUGGCACCAUGACAAUACCAGAAACUAGGGCUAAAGCUACAGAAGAAAACAUAAAGAAAUUGGAGAAUCAAUUACAGAAUUACAUGUCAGAGACGAAUAAAAAGCUGGACUCCAAUGACUCAAAAAUGGAUGAUUUACAUCACAAGUUUGACAUAAUGAUGGAUAAAAUCUUCGUUAGUAAAGAUGGAAUUCUGGGAAGUGCGCCUUCAGGAAAUCUUCAGGUGGAAGGUUCUUGAAGUAGGGCAAGAAUGGUGGAGCCUCACGAGCAGCCUAUGGGGAGAUACCACUCGAGCAGCUUUGCUUCAAAGGUAGACUGUCCAUACUUUGAAGAUGGUGAUCCCAGGUCGUGGUUGAGGAAAUGUGAAAGGUACUUCCAUUAUAAUCACAUCUCUGAUCCUCAGCAUAAACUUGAAACUGUUGUUAUUCAUUUAAAUGGAAAGGCUGAGUCAUGGUACUUUUCAUACCAAAUUAGUAUAGGUGUGGUGAGAUGGCCCGACUUUGUGGAGGAAAUCUGCAAAAGAUUCAAUGAUUCAGACAAUAGUAAUCUUAACUUGCUAGGCAAAUUUAAAAGAAUUGAACAAGUGGGGAGUGUGACAGAAUACCUAGAAAAAUUUGAAGACCUUAAGACUUGGGUAUUGAUUAAGCACCCUACCAUUCCUAAGGAGUUCUUUCUAGGGUUCUUCAUUGAAGGGCUUAAAGAAGAAAUUCGACACACAGUUAAGAUGUUGGACCCUUUUUCUUUAAGCUAGGCAGUUGAGAAAGCUAGACACAAAGAAGAGUUACUAGAAGCAGUAAGCAGAAAGAAUAAAGGAAGUGUGGGAAGGGGCACUUGUCAGUAUAGUAUGACUCAUGGUACUUCAGGGAGUAGAGCUUCUAAUUUUAUCCCAAAGGAAGGCAAUACUAACUCUGUCAUCUCAAGGAAUAAAUUGUUUGAAGCUAGAAAAGCUAAGGGAGAAUGCUACAGGUGUGGGAAAAAGUACUUUCCCGGUCACAAAUGUAAGGAUAGAUAAUUGAAUGCAUUAUAUGGACAACUGAACAAGAAGAAGUAGAAGAAGAACCUAGAGUGGAGGAAAUAGAGAGAGCACUAGAGGUUCCUGAAGAAGUAAUUGAUGAAGCAAUCAGUUUAAAUGCAUUAUCUGGCACUAUUACUUCUAACACUAUCAAGUUGAAGGGGAUGUAUGGGAAGCAAGGACUGAUUAUACUAGUUGACAGUGGUAGUACUCAUAGUUUUGUUGCUAGUAGCACUGCCAAACAACUAGGAUGUGCAAUCCAAGAGAAUGCUCCUAUGAGAGUAACAGCUGCUAAUGGGAGUCAUUUGAUGAGCUACUAUUCAUGUCCUCAGUUUAAGUAGAAGAUACAUGGCAUUGAGUUUGAACAUAAACUCAGAUUGUUGGAUGUGAGUGGUUGUGAUAUGGUGUUAGGUGGAGAUUGGAUAAGAAGACACAACCAAGUACUCUUUGAUUUUAUUAAGUACAGGCUACAUGUUAGUGUCAAGGGAAAAAGGGUGGAUCCGAAAGGGUUCUCUGAAAAAGGGAAACUGCAAGCUAUGACAGCCUCUGGGGUUAAACAACUUUUGAAGAAAGGGCAAGUGAUAUGGGCACAUUUAUUUACAAUAACAGUUACAGAAAUGAAGGAGGCUACAACCAUACCUGCAGAGAUCAAAUCUGUAUUGGAGAAGUUUCCAGGAGUAUUUGCAGAACCCAAGACAUUACCACCAAGCAGGGAGCAUGACCAUUUCAUUCCAUUGAAACCUGAUGCAAAACCAGUUAGCAUCAGACCAUACAGGUACAACUAUUUCCAGAAAAAUGAAAUAGAAAAGCAAGUUGAUGAAAUGCUCACUAAUGGAAUCAUACAGCCAAGUCAUUCACCAUUCUCAUCCCCAGUUCUCCUUGUCAAAAAGAAGGAUGGGAGUUGGAGAUUUUGAAUUGACUAUAGGGAACUUAACAAAAUGAUUGUUAAGGAUAAGUUUCCUAUCCCCUUAGUAGAUGAUCUAAUGGAUGAGCUUAAAGGAUCUUGUAUCUACUCUAAAAUUGACCUUAGGGCUGGCUACCAUCAAAUAAGAAUGGAGAAGUGUGAUAUUUUCAAAACUGCAUUUAGAACUCAUUUAGGGCAUUAUGAGUUCAAGGUCAUGCCCUUUGGCUUGACUAAUGCACCUGCGACCUUCCAAAGUCUUAUGAACCAUGUUUUCAAGCCUUACUUGAGGAAAUUUGUGCUAGUAUUUUUUUAUGAUAUUUUAGUUUAUAGUUCUUCUGUUGUAACUUAUGCAUUACAUCUCAGAAAAGUAAUGGAAGUAUUGCAGAAAGAGCAGUUGUAUGCCAAGCUAUCCAAAUGUUCUUUUGGACAAGAUAAGGUGGAAUACUUAGGGCACAUAAUAUCUGGGAAGGGAGUAUCAACUGACCCUUCUAAGAUUGAAGCCAUGGUGUCCUGGCAUGUUCCCAAGAAUGUCAAAGCUCUUAGGGGUUUCCUAGGGCUUACUGGUUACUACAGGAGGUUUGUCAAAUCUUAUGGUAUCAUUAGUAGACCACUGACUAAUCUAUUGAAGAAGAACUCAUUCCAAUGGAAUGCAGAAGCAGAAGUGGCUUUUCAGCAAUUGAAAGAAGCCAUGGCAUCAGACCAGUAUUGGCUUUAGCUGACUUCACCAAGCCAUUCAUUAUGGAGACAGAUUCUUGCUCUACUGGCAUGGGAGCUGUGUUGAUGCAAGAGAGUAGACCUAUAGCCUAUUUCAGUAAGGCUUUAGCUCCCAAAAACAGGGGUCUCUCUACAUAUGAGAAGGAAUAUAUGGCAGUGUUAGCUGCAGUAGACAAAUGGAGACAUUAUCUCCAAGGUGGACACUUUAUUGUCAAGACAGAUUAUCAGAGUUUGAAAUAUCUCUUGGAACAAAAAGUAACUACAGCAUUGUAACAGAAAAGUCAAACCAAGUUGAUGGGGUUAGACUAUGAAGUACAAUAUAAGAAGGGAACAAAAAACACAGUAGCUGAUGCUCUUUCAAGAAGACAAGAUGAAGAAAGUACCCUUACUGGCUAUGUCUACAACUCAAGCUACUUGGUUACAGGAAGUGAGUCUAAGCUAUGAAUCUGACCCUGUGUCCUUACAACUGUUGAGGGAAUUGGCCAUUGCCUCUGACAGUAAUGUAGACUAUUCUUUACAUCAGGGAAUUAUCAGGUAUAAACAAAAGAUCUAUAUUGGGAAGAGUAUUGAGUUAAGGCAUAAGAUACUGGAAGCACUACAUCAGUCACCUUUAGGUGGUCAUUCAGGGCAACAAGGGACCUAUAGAAGAGUGCAAUCUAUAUUCUACUGGCCUAACAUGAAGACAGAAGUAUGUGAAUGGGUUAGUGAGUGUGAUGUGUGUCAAAGGGUGAAGUCAGAACAUGUUCACCCUCCAGGAUUACUACAGCCCUUAUCCAUACCCAACCAAGCUUGGGAAGACAUUUCCCUAGAUUUUGUAGAAGGGUUACCUCAGUCAGGUCAUAAAAAUGCAGUCUUGGUGGUAGUUGACAGAUUAACCAAGUAUGGACAUUUCCUACCUCUUAAGCAUCCAUUCACAGCUCAAGAUAUAGCAGAACUAUUUCAUAGAGAGAUCUAUAGACUACAUGGGCUUCCUAAGACUAUUGUAUCUGAUAGAGAUACCAUUUUCACUAGCCACUUCUGGCAGCAUCUAUUCAAGACCUUGGGUUCUAAGCUUAAUAUUAGUUCAGCUUACCAUCCUCAAUCAGAUGGUCAGACUGAUAGUCUCAACAGAUGUAUGGAGACCUAUUUGAGGGAUAUGGUUUUCAACAAUCCUAAGGAAUGGGUUAAAUGGCUCCAUUUGGCAGAAUGGUAGUACAACACCAACUACCAUAGCUCCCUUAAAACUACUUCUUUUCAAGCCCUAUAUGGUUAUCCCCCGACUCAGUUACCAUUAGGCUCCUUGCCAAGCAUUGGUCGAUAUCCAGCUAGAGUAUUCUUAGCAUAGAGACAACAUUUAUUACAGAUACUCAAAGACAAUCUAACUCAAGCUCAGUCAAGAAUGAAGUUUUAUGCAGAUAGACUCAGAACUGAGAGAGCCCUUGAGGUUGGAGAUUUGGUUUAUCUCAAAUUACAACCUUAUCGACAGGCUUCUAUCGCUGCACGUAGGAAUGUGAAGUUAUGUGCUCGCUAUUAUGGGCCUUAUAAAGUCUUACAAAGAGUGGGUUCAGUGGCUUACCGUUUGGAGUUGCCAGCAGAUUCGUAGCUACAUCCAGUCUUCCACAUCUCGCAGUUGAAGAAAAGGGUUGGACCAGCUAUCGAUUCUCAGCCAGAACCUCUGAUUUGUGACGAUGCAGGUCGAGUCUUGAUUCAGCCUAUGGCUACCUUGCAGCGAAAAAUGACUAAAGUGGAUAAUGGGGUUCGUGUGAAAGUCUUGGUUCACUCGACUAAUUUGAGUGAAGAAGAAGCCACAUGGGAAGAUUGGGGUUACAUUAAAGGCAGAUUUCUAGAGUUCGUGGCUCUGCAAAGACCUUGAGGACAAGGUCAUUCUUUGAAGGGGAAGGGAUUGUAACGUUUGAAGGUGGAAUUAGGAAAGUGGAGAUAGGGUAUUGCUAUAAUGGGGUGUAGAAGCUUCUAUAGGCUACAUCUUUGGGCCAGUAUAAAUAAAGACACAUUGGGCCAAAUUAAUAAGAAAGUCGAUGGCCCACUUGUAGUAACCCAACCAACAUUAACAAACAAUAAAUUAUAUUUGGAAGAGGGAAGCAUCAAUCAAUUUUCGGUAAUUCCAUUACUUCCUAACAAACUCCUUCUCUUUUCUCUCUCAUUUCUCUCUCUCUUCUCUCUGGAUCCUAACCUCCUUUUCUCUUCUUAAUUCUCAGGUCAUUUCCAUGGAGUAUCUAUCUAGGUCUACUGUAAUUAGCU
rnacentral:lncRNA from 1 species